rnacentral:rRNA from 1 species
GAUGAACGCUGGCGGCGUGCCUAAUACAUGCAAGUCGAGCGAACAGACGAGGAGCUUGCUCCUCUGACGUUAGCGGCGGACGGGUGAGUAACACGUGGAUAACCUACCUAUAAGACUGGGACAACUUCGGGAAACGGGAGCUAACACCGGAGAACAUAUUGAACCGCCUGGUUCAAUAGUGAAAGCGGGUUUUGCUGUUACCUACAGAUGGAUUCGCGCCGCAUUAGCUAGUUGGUAAGGUAACGGCUUACAAAGGCAACGAUGCGUAGCCGACCUGAGAGGCUGGUCGGCCACACUGGAACUGAGACACGGUCCAGACUCCUACGGGAGGCAGCAGUAGGGAAUCUUCCGCAAUGGGCGAAAGCCUGACGGAGCAACGCCGCGUGAGUGAUGAAGGUCUUCGGAUCGUAAAACUCUGUUAUUAGGGAAGAACAAAUUUGUAAGUAACUAUGCACGUCUUGACGGUACCUAAUCAGAAAGCCACGGCUAACUACGUG